GAAAACCAUUAUUUUACUUCUCUGUUUACUGCAGUGGAUUUUUAAAAUCAGAUUCUCAAGCCUCUGAAAAGCCAGACCCGUGAGCCUGCAAUGAGUUUGAAGGCAAAUUGUGGAACCCUUACAGAUCAAAUCAGACCAAAUAUAAAAUGUUUGGUAGUGCAAUAAAUAUGCAAAGAAUA